rnacentral:rRNA from 1 species
GGGGGGAGCUGAGGCGGUUUUGGUUUGAAAAGAUUGCUAUACGUAUGGGGGAUGGGUCUAGAGAAAGCCGAAACUUGUGCCAGCAGCCGCGGUAAUACGAAAGGGUGCAGCGUUAUUCGGAAUGACUGGGCGUAAAGAGCGUACAGGCGGUUUGUUAAGUCAACUGUUAAAUGACCCGGCUUAACUGGGUAUCUGCAGAUGAAACUGGCAGACUAGAGUGCAGGAGAGAAAGGUAGAAUUCUCGGAGUAGCAGUAAAAUGCGUAGAUCUCGAGAGGAAUACCGGUUGCGAAGGCGGCCUUUUGGCCUGUUACUGACGCUAAAGCGCGAAAGCGUGGGGAGCAAACAGGAUUAGAUACCCUGGUAGUCCACGCCGUAAACGAUGAUCACUGGAUGUGGGACGUGCAUAGCAUGUUCUGUGUCGAAGCUAACGCGUUAAGUGAUCCGCCUGGGAAGUACGGUCGCAAGAUUAAAACUCAAAGGAAUUGACGGGGGUCCGCACAAGCGGUGGAACAUGUGGUUUAAUUCGACACUACGCGAGGAACCUUACCUAGGUUUGACAUGUACCUGCAACUGGUGGAAACAUUGGGUUCCGUAGCAAUACGGACGGGUACACAGGUGCUGCAUGGCUGUCGUCAGCUCGUGUCGUGAGACGUCGGGUUAAGUCCUUCAACGAGCGAAACCCUUGUCUCCAGUUGCCAGCAUUCAGUUGGGGACUCUGGAGAGACCGCCGGCGUCAAGCCGGAGGAAGGCGGGGACGACGUCAAGUUAUCAUGGCCUUUAUGCCUAGGGCUGCACACGUGCUACAAUGCCGCGUACAAAGGGACGCCAAACCGCGAGGUGGAGCCAAUCCCAGAAAGCGCGGCUCAGUUCGGAUUGCAGGCUGCAACUCGCCUGCAUGAAGCUGGA